CCCACACGGAAGCUUUUGUUUUUAAACUCUAAUUCAUUCAUUCAUAAAAACCAUUCGAAAACCUCUUUAAAAUUGUUUCCCACACGGAAACUCUAUUUUGAAAACCGACUACCUCGAGGGGUAGAAAACCACGAUUCGUAAAUCUAUAAAUACAGAUCUGAGAGCCACAAAGUACACAGACAUCCAAAACUGAAAAUCCAUAAACCAAAUCCACAAAUCCAUAGAAGCCAAUCCACGAGCAUUCAAACAUCAAGUAUGAUCCUCUAACUGAACCAUAUAAUAUCAAAACUAUUAAUAACCAAAGUAAAC
rnacentral:lncRNA from 1 species